rnacentral:rRNA from 1 species
UGAGUACGAGCUGCUACGGCAGCGAAGUGGGUGAUGUCAAGCUUCCAAGAAAAGCCCUAUACCCGUUAAGGCAUGACGGCCUGUACCCGAAACCGACACAGGUGGGGUGGUAGAGAAUACCGAGGGGCGCGAGAUAACUCUCUCUAAGGAACUCGGCAAAAUGGCCCCGUAACUUCGGGAGAAGGGGUGCCACCGCAAGGUGGUCGCAGUGAAGAGGCCCAGGCGACUGUUUACCAAAAACACAGGUCUCCGCUAAGUCGCAAGACGAUGUAUGGGGGCUGACGCCUGCCCAGUGCCGGAAGGUUAAGGAAGCUGGUCAGCGCAAGCGAAGCUAGCGACUGAAGCCCCGGUGAAUGGCGGCCGUAACUAUAACGGUCCUAAGGUAGCGAAAUUCCUUGUCGGGUAAGUUCCGACCCGCACGAAAGGCGUAACGAUCUGGGCGCUGUCUCGGAGAGAGGCUCGGCGAAAUAGAAUUGUCUGUGAAGAUGCGGACUACGUGCACCCGGACAGAAAGACCCUAUGAAGCUUUACUGUAGCUUGGUAUUGUGCCCGGGCUCUGAAUGCGCAGGAUAGGUGGGAGGCUUUGAUCCAUUGCUUGUGGGUGAUGGUGAGCCACUGGUGAGAUACCACUCUUUCAGAGCUAGGGUUCUAACGGUCACCCGUUAUCCGGGGACCGGACAGUAUCAGGUGGGCAGUUUGACUGGGGCGGUCGCCUCCUAAAAGGUAACGGAGGCGCGCAAGGGUUCCCUCAGGCUGGUUGGAAAUCAGCCGACGAGUGUAAAGGCAGAAGGGAGCUUGACUGUGAGACCUACAAGUCGAACAGGGACGAAAGUCGGCCUUAGUGAUCCGACGGUUCUGAGUGGAAGGGCCGUCGCUCAACGGAUAAAAGUUACUCUAAGGAUAACAGGCUGAUCUCCCCCAAGAGUUCACAUCGACGGGGAGGUUUGGCACCUCGAUGUCGGCUCAUCGCAACCUGGGGCUGAAGUCGGUCCCAAGGGUUGGGCUGUUCGCCCAUUAAAGCGGUACGCGAGCUGGGUUCAGAACGUCGUGAGACAGUUCGGUCCAUAUCCGGUGCACGCGCAGGAACAUUGAGAGGAUUUCUCCCUAGUACGAGAGGACCGGGAGGAACGCACCUCUGGUGUACCAGUUAUCGUGCCAACGGUAAACGCUGGGUAGCCAUGUGCGGAGCGGAUAACCGCUGAAAGCAUCUAAGUGGGAAGCCCACCUCAAGAUGAGUGUUCCCAUGGCAUAAGCCAGUAAGGUCACGGGAAGAACACCCGUUGAUAGGCUCUACGUGGAAGCGUGGCAACACGUGAAGCGGAGGAGUACUAAUAGACCGAGGGCUUG